rnacentral:rRNA from 1 species
GACGAACGCUGGCGGCGUGCCUAAUACAUGCAAGUCGAACGAGAGCGCCCGGUGCUUGCACUGGUCAAUCUAGUGGCGAACGGGUGAGUAACACGUGGGUAACCUGCCCAUCAGAGGGGGAUAACAUCCGGAAACGGAUGCUAAAACCGCAUAGGUCUUCGAUCCGCAUGGCUUGAAGAGGAAAAGAGGCGCAAGCUUCUGCUGAUGGUUGGUCCCGCGUUGCAUUUGCUAGUUGUUGAGGUAACGGCUCACCAAGGCCGUGAUGCAUAGCCGACCUGAGAGGGUGAGCGGCCACAUUGGGACUGAGACACGGCCCAAACUCCUACGGGAGGCAGCAGUAGGGAAUCUUCCGCAAUGGACGCAAGUCUGACGGAGCAACGCCGCAUGAGUGAAGAAGGUUUUCGGAUCGUAAAACUCUGUUGUUAGAGAAGAACAAGUGCUAGAGUAACUGUUAGCGCCUUGACGGUAUCUAACCAGAAAGCCACGGCUAACUACGUG